GAUGAACGCUGGCGGCGUGCCUAACACAUGCAAGUCGAACGGGAACCCUUGGAUUCGUCUGAGGGGGAGAGUGGCGAACGGGUGAGUAACACGUAGGUGACCUGCCCCGAAGAGGGGAAUAACCACUGGAAACGGUGGCUAAUACCUCAUGUGCUCGGUGGUUCGUUCCAUCGAGGAAAGCUCCGGCGCUUUGGGAGGGGCCUGCGGCCCAUCAGGUAGUUGGUAGGGUAAUGGCCUACCAAGCCGAUGACGGGUAGGGGGCGUGAGAGCGUGAUCCCCCACACUGGCACUGAGACACGGGCCAGACUCCUACGGGAGGCAGCAGUGAGGAAUAUUGCCCAAUGGACGCAAGUCUGAGGCAGCAACGCCGCGUGGGCGAUGAAGGCCUUCGGGUUGUAAAGCCCUUUUCUGGGGGAAGAGAAAGGACGGUACCCCAGGAAUAAGUCUCGGCUAACUACGUG
rnacentral:rRNA from 1 species